rnacentral:rRNA from 1 species
AGAACGAACGCUGGCGGCAUGCCUAACACAUGCAAGUCGAACGAGACCUUCGGGUCUAGUGGCGCACGGGUGCGUAACGCGUGGGAAUCUGCCCUUGGGUUCGGGAUAACAGUUGGAAACGACUGCUAAUACCGAAUGAUAUCUUCGGAUCAAAGAUUUAUCGCCCAGGGAUGAGCCCGCGUAGGAUUAGCUUGUUGGUGAGGUAAAGCUCACCAAGGCGACGAUCCUUAGCUGGUCUGAGAGGAUGAUCAGCCACACUGGGACUGAGACACGGCCCAGACUCCGUACGGGAGGCAGCAGGUGGGGAAUGUUAGGACAAGUGGGGACGAAAGCC